AUGUUUACUACAUUUUAUAAAAUAUUUUUUGUUUUGUUUUUUGUAUGGACUUGGAUCAAUAACACCAAAGUAGGCAUAGAAAAUAUACUAAAAGUAAAAUGUGAUAGAGUACUGGGUCAACGGGAUACCUCUCCAAAUGCACUUAUUGAUCGUCCUUAUUCAAAAACAUGUGAUGACACGUACGACUUUUCUAAACAUUUUGAACAAUACAUGACUAGUGAUAAUGAUCGAAAUAGCAAUAAUGCACAAAUUGUUGAAUAUUAUCAAAAUGUAUCAGUUUAUUUAACUGAUUUUAAAAAAGAAUUAACUAAAAUAUUAUAUAACCGAGAUGAUCCUCAAAUAAAUAUCAUACUAAUAGAAAAUCCAAACAUACAUAAAAAGAACUUACUAGAUAUAUAUGGUCUUAUUAAACAUGUCAUUUCAAGUGAUGAAUAUUUACAAAUUAUAGAUGAAACUUAUAAGUUAUUGCAAAGUAGACAACCUAAUAAUCAACAAGCUAAAAUAUAUUACAAAUCGUUGUUAUACUUACUAAACACUUAUUUCUUUCUUACAAAUAAUAAAACAGAUUUUAAAAAAAGGCUUAUGAACUUAGAAGCUAAACACGAACAAUCAUUAUUUAAAAAAAAAAAUUAAAAUUCAAAAAGAAAUAUUUAAAUAUAUUUAAACUUAGUAAAAAAAUAGAUAAACAUUUUAGGGCUAAAUUACUUGAACAAAUGAUAAAAGAAGAAAUAGAUCCAAAUGUAACAACGUCAUAUAAAAAAUAUUUUCAGAUAUUUUUUUAUCCAUUCGUUAUGCCAUUAUUUAGUUUUGCAUUUCUCCUUGCAGUUGAUCCUAUUGUAUCCAGUGGUGUCGUAUAUGCAAUAUAUGUACUACUGAUAGUUAUAUAUUUACAGACUAUAUAUAAAAUAUAUGAUGAUAUAAAAUCCAUAAACCGAAUUAUAGAUGGGUCAGAAUUACCAAGCAGAGAAAAUUUUCUCUAAUUAUAUAUAGAAUAAACAUAUUCUAACAGUACA
ensembl:lncRNA